rnacentral:rRNA from 1 species
AUUGAACGCUGGCGGCAGGCCUAACACAUGCAAGUCGAGCGGAUGAAGGGAGCUUGCUCCUGGAUUCAGCGGCGGACGGGUGAGUAAUGCCUAGGAAUCUGCCUGGUAGUGGGGGAUAACGUCCGGAAACGGGCGCUAAUACCGCAUACGUCCUGAGGGAGAAAGUGGGGGAUCUUCGGACCUUACGCUAUCAGAUGAGCCUAGGUCGGAUUAGCUAGUUGGUGGGGUAAAGGCCUACCAAGGCGACGAUCCGUAACUGGUCUGAGAGGAUGAUCAGUCACACUGGAACUGAGACACGGUCCAGGCUCCUACGGGAGGCAGCAGUGGGAAAUAUUGGACAAUGGGCGGAAGCCUGAUCCAGCCGUGCCGCGUGUGUGAAGAAGGUCUUCGGAUUGUAAAGCACUUUAAGUUGGGAGGAAGGGCAGUAAGUUAAUACCUUGCUGUUUUGACGUUACCAGCAGAAGAAGCACCGGCUAACUUCGUG